GAGGUCCCGAGCGUUGUUCGGAUUCACUGGGCGUAAAGGGUGCGUAGGUGGUUGGGUAAGUCUGAUGUGAAAUCUCCGAGCUCAACUCGGAAAUGGCAUUGGAUACUAUUCGGCUAGAGGGUUGGAGGGGGACUGGAAUACUUGGUGUAGCAGUGAAAUGCGUAGAUAUCAAGUGGAACACCAGUGGCGAAGGCGAGUCCCUGGACAACUCCUGACACUGAGGCACGAAAGCUAGGGGAGCAAACAGGAUUAGAUACCCUGGUAGUCCUAGCUGUAAACGGUGCAUAUUUGCUGUAAAAGGAAUCGACCCCUUUUGUGGCGUAGCAAACGCGUUAAAUAUGCCGCCUGGGAAGUACGGUCGCAAGAUUA
rnacentral:rRNA from 1 species